GACUGCGAUCACAUCAGAUUGUGAAAAUACCUUUUCUCAUUUGAUCAUCUAAGUUAAGCAACGUCGGGCCCAGUUAUUACUUGUAUGGUUGGCCAACUGGAAGUACUGGAAGUUGCAGCUG
rnacentral:rRNA from 1 species